CGCGCGCGUGGGCGCGCACACACACAAAAGAUCAAUGUAAAACCAACUUAAACUCAUGAAAACACAUAACUACAUUUAUAACCUUAAGAUUAUUAUAUAAAUUGAUUAGAUUAAAAAGGUACACACUAAAACUUUACACCCUUGUCCAUUGUAUCAUUUAUACAAAAGGUUAUAUGGGUUUGAGAUUUCAUUUUGAAGGUGAAAAUGAAUUUUGCCAAAAAGGACUUAUUGAUUUAUGAUGAUGGGAAAUGAGUUUUUAAAAAAGUGUUUGGAUUAGUUUUUUAGUGAUAAAAGUCAAUUAGUUUGGCAGAAAAUUAUCUUUUGUUUGUUUUUUAUCCUAAAAAGUUAUAAGUCUUUUCAAAAAGUAACAAUUUGUUUCUUCUUGAAAACUCCUUUUCAAAUGUUAAAUAAAAAGGAGUUUUAAAAGUCCUUAUUAGAUAUCCAAACACUUUUUUUUCUCAAAAGUUUUUAGAUAAACACCCAAACACGCUCUAAGAACUUUAAAAACUAUCCAUUUCAUUGAUUUUCUCCUAUUUUCAGUCGUAGCUACUAAAAUUAAGGAACUAAACAAUGAAAUCAAAAGGAAAGAAAACAAUAAAUUAAAUGUUUGCUGCCCUACAUCCAAUAUAAUGAUCGGAAGAGGCCAAAAGAAGGGGAAAGACGAUGUGUGUUUGUGUGAUGUGUUCCUGUAAUCGGAAGGAAAAAGAGGCGCCGCCGUCGGCGAUCAAUGCCUAAUUCCAAUACAACCAUACGAUCAAUGCCCCCCAUGUAUGGCUUUAUCGAUUGCAUUUGGGUAUUUUAUUUUUCUUGAUGUCGUACUCCACCAGAUGCGAACAGUUUUACUUGAUAUCUCAUUGGAAAUGAAGAACAAUUUAUUGCUUACAAGAUGAGUGAGCCAGUAGCAGUUGUUGUGAAUAAUAAAGUAAGGAUGCUUGUAUUAUGAGAAGAAGAGGAAGGAUGAACUUGUUGCAUGAUGAAUGUAAUGUUACACUGUACUUCAUUAAUCUAGUAAGAUUGAUGAAAAAUAGGUAUUUUCAAGCUGGAACAUAGAAUUUACUGAUUUGAAAUGUUUAAUUUUUAGUUUCAAUGGUUUCUCAUUUGCAAUUGUAGCUUUUGCAAUCUUAUAUGGAUGAAUGGUCAUCUUAUUUUAUUUGGUAAAGUUAAGUUCUUUA